ACGCUCGACACCUACGGGAGCGCAGCAGUGGGGAAUAUUGCACAAUGGGGGAAACCCUGAUGCAGCGACGCCGCGUGGAGGAAGAAGGUCUUCGGAUUGUAAACUCCUGUUGUUGGGGAAAAAGAGGAUGGUACCCAACAAGGAAGUGACGGCUAACUACGUGCCAGCAGCCGCGGUAAUCUGAGCGGGCUGGCAAGGC
rnacentral:rRNA from 1 species